GACGAACGCUGGCGGCGUGCUUAACACAUGCAAGUCGAACGGAAAGGCCUCUUUCGGGGGUACUCGAGUGGCGAACGGGUGAGUAACACGUGAGUAACCUGCCCUUGACUUUGGGAUAACUUCAGGAAACUGGGGCUAAUACCGGAUAGGAGCUCCUGCUGCAUGGUGGGGGUUGGAAAGUUUCGGCGGUUGGGGAUGGACUCGCGGCUUAUCAGCUUGUUGGUGGGGUAGUGGCUUACCAAGGCUUUGACGGGAAGCCGGCCUGAGAGGGUGACCGGCCACAUUGGGACUGAGAUACGGCCCAGACUCCUACGGGAGGCAGCAGUGGGGAAUAUUGCACAAGGGGUGGAAGCCUGAUGCAGCAACGCCGUGUGCGGGAUGACGGCCUUCGGGUUGUAAACCGCUUUCGCUCAUGACGAAGCUUUGUGUGACGGUAGUGGGUAAAGAAGCACCGGCUAACUACGUG
rnacentral:rRNA from 1 species